GGGGGUGGGAGGAGGUGGGCAUCUCUCUGCUGAUUCAGAAGCCAGCUCCUGGCAGGAAGGCUCUGAGCCCAGAAAAUCAGGGCCAGAUCAGGGCUCCAUGUGAAGAUUCCUCACCAGGAACAAAUGGGUUUCUCAUCAAGAAAGAGACAGUGUGUUCCCUCCCACUGCUGAGUGAGCACUGACUGGUCUGUGAAUCCAGUGGCUCCCAAUCUCACCUCUGCCCUUAGGAGCUCAAGGCUGCCCCACUAGGAGCCUCAGCCUCUUCACCUGGGAGGAAGCAGUUUCUGCCCAGAAGAGGAGGGACUUGGGAGUUCAUCCGAGGACCUGGGUUUGAGCCCCAACUCCAGUGCGGCAGCCUUGGGCUUGAGUCUCAUGGGGCCUCUGUUUGUGCAUAAAAUGGGGAUGACAAGACAUGCCUCUCAGGUUGCCAUGCAGGGCGUGGGAGAGCACGUAGGCCCCCUGGCUGAUGUAGGCCCCCAAGGAGGUAUUAACCUUCCAGAGCCUCAGUUUUCUCACUUAAAAACAGGCUAGGAUCGGGGCUACUGCAAGGAUCACAUGGGACCAAACGUGUGCAUGAGUGUCCAAUAGACUUGAGGAUGCAGGAACGGCUGCCUCCUCACCAUGUUCCCAGAAUCAUGGAGGCUGAACCCACUCGGUGGUUUCCCAGCUGGGUUCCAGGAGGCACCCCAGGGGCCACCGGUGGGACCCUAAGCUGGACUUGACCCCAGACAACCCUGCUUGUCCCUCUUUUACACCCAGGGUUCCACCUGGGAUUUUGUUUGAAAGAACCAGUUCUGCUGCUAAAUUCUUGGGCUUUUUUUUUUUUUCCCAAACCUUACAUUUGGAAAUAAUUUCAGAGUUCAAAAAUUUCAAGACUCAAAACAGUGCAUGAAAAGAGGUACGUCCACGUACCCUUUGUGGACUGUUAGUAUCUUAUCUCGUUUGCUUUAUCAUUUAUAUUCUGUCUCUACGCAAAUGGAAGUUUUUCAUGAAUCAUAUGAGGCUGAGUUAUAUACAUCUUGGCCCCUUACCCCUAAAUACUUCUAAGAGCAGGGACAUUCCAUCGCACAACCACAGUUAAGUCUGCUUCAUAAAUUUACAUCGGUACCAUAUUUUUCUCCAUUCCACUGUCUGUAUUGCAGGUUGUCUCUGAUCUAACAGGGUUUUUUUUUUUUUUUUUAGCAUUUCCUCCUCUAGUUCAGGAUCCAGUCAAGGGUCGGGUAUCGAAUUUAGUUGUCUCCUUUAACCUGGAACAUUGCAGCCUUUCUUUGCCUUUUAUGAAGUGGAUAUGGUAAGGAAUACAGGUUGCCCUCCCCGCCCCCAUCUUUUUCUUUAUAAUGAAAGUUCCUCAUUUUGUGUUUGUCAGAUGUUUCCUCAUGGUUAGACUGAGGUUAAGCAUUUUCAGCCAGAUCCCAAAUGACUCUUAAACUCUCUUCUGACUUUGACAUUCAGUGAUCCUAGAACCGGGUCCUCUACCUCAGGCCUUCAGCUCACCUCCCCUCGCCCGAUGCUUCCAGCGCUUCGCUACUCAAAGUGUGGUCCGCGGCCCUGCAGCCCCAUGUGGGAAGCCUGGGAGCCACGAGCAACCCCCUGGAGGGCACAGCUGCAGCUUGGGCGCUGCCUACCUCUCUACCACUGAGCCCCUCUAAGCAGAGAAUGGCCCUCCCCUCCCACCCCCACCUCCACCCACCCUGCUUCAGCCCCUCCUGUCCAAGGAGGAAGCUCCACCCUCCUGUCUCUCCUGUGGUGCGAUCCUGGCAAUAGUAACUGUGUCUUUGCAGCCUGGCUGCUGGCGGGACCUGCGGGGUUGAGAGGUUGAAGAGACCGUGGGAAAGGAUGGAACUUGGAGACACAAGGCCUGAGUUAACUGGCCAGGCCCGCUUUUCCAGAAAGGUAGCUGUUGUUAAUGCCCGUGAUGCGAGUGGGCUGGGAUUCAGAGCUAGAAUUUCCUCACUCCAAAGCCUGUGCUUCCAUCACUCUGCCAGGCCACCAGCCUGGAGACAGGUCCCAAGGGUCCCGAAUCCCGAUCACGUGCUUCCUCCACUGUGGCAGGUUUAGGGGCCUGUGUCAGGUGGAGUGGGUAGUUCACGGAGACAAAUGGCUUUGAAUAAACCUGGCCAUCCAUCCUGCAGCCAGGAGCAGACUGGGUUCCUCGUGAACUUCAGGAGACUUGGUGAGAGCAGUUAGAGUCGUCUCUCCUAUUAUUACUCUGACAAACAAGUUAUUCCCACCUCUUCAGUGUCUCAGACCAGACAUUCAGGGCUGACCCUACUGCUGGGGAGAAAUAGCUUCAAGCUCAAGAUCUCCUCCUUAAGAUGGGCGGGGGAGACAGGAAGGAGGAAUGCAGUGCAUGCAAAUGUGGGAUUCUUCCUAAAAGAAUACAAAGAAUCUUCUUUUAACUUAGAUAAAAAGCAGGCAACAUCCGAGAGGGCAGUGGAGGCCAACAGGCUGCUUUUUUCCUCUUCCUUCAAUAGUCUGUGUAGCUGGUUCAGGCAGGGACAGAGGCUGGGUGUUGGAUGGGAGGAGGGAGCUUGAGGGAGACCCCAGGGCCAUGGAACGACCCGCCUGCAACAUUGACUGAGGGUAGACAGAACAGAGAGGGAGGUCAGACUGUUGGUUUUUUUAAAUUUGUGUUAAAAAAUCUGAACUGAUUUCUAGUGACAAAAGUCACUAAUGUUUAUUGUUGAGAAAGAUGAUUAGUAUUGUGCUGGACUUCUGGCUGGUCUUUUGAAAUACAUAUAGACAAGUAGGUAAAUAGAUAAUUAGUUAAGGAAAUACUUUCUGCUGUAACAGAUAAACCCUGCUAUCUCUAACUCAAGUACAAAUUGAUUUCUCAUUCAUGUAAGUCCAACAGAAUGGAGGAGGGUUGGGGAGGGGGUAGUUGUGGCUCUGCUCCCUGUAGUCAUGCAGGGAUUCAGGCCGAGGGAGGCUUUCUGAGUCCCUUGGGCAUUGACAUACAGGUGACAGAGAGAAAGACAGAGAGAACAUAUGGGCCAUGCCUGGCAGGAAGCACCACCUUGUUUUUACGCCGCACAACAGAAAUGGGGUUUGGGACCUCUGAGAUGUGUUUGGAGGAUUAGAAGACACGUUACCCUCUCUCCUUGUAUAAUAACCACGUCUACCAUUUCUCACAUGCCAAUAACCCAGCAGGCACCAUGUUAAUUGCUUUCUGUCUGUCUUCUCCCUGAAACAUCACAACCACUCCGUAAGACGUGGACACUAUGUUAUCCCCAUUUUAUAGCCAAGGAAACUGAGGCUCUGCAAGGUUAAGCAGCACAGGCUUGAGGUCAUAUCUGAGCAGGUGAGUAGUGGUCCUUGGACUUGGAUCCAGGUCAUCCUGGACCGCUGUGCCCUCCUGCUUUUCCAGGAUGCCCUGGGGUCAGAGAUGACCUCAGAGAGGCCAGAUCCAGUCACAAUGACCUCAUACCUUUUCCAGCCAGGCUGGGACUUUUGGCUUUGGGUCUCUGAGCCCACAGCCUGAGUGGCCAACGGGCUUGUGGGCUGAGCUCUCCAAAGGGGAACCCAGGGAGCUGGAGUGAUUUCCUCAGGGAUGCGGUGACGCUCAAAGCAGAACUGAGACUUAAGCAGCAUCUGCAAAAAGCACAAACAACCAGAAAGGGCAGCUUUGGGAAGCUCGGGGGAGCGAGGCGGGCUUCACAUCUCACGGCAGCCACAAACUACAGGGAAUCUCCCUUGGCGCCAGCUCUUGUGUCUGUGCUGCUGGGAAUUCAGACCAGACAUUAGUUUUCAAACUGGUUUCAGGGAACACUCAAGGGGCUGGGGACAUCUUGCAAGGGGAAGAGGAGAGGAGGGGAAACAGCAGGCCAGCCCUGCUGUCCAACUCUGAUCAACCAGAGAAGCCAAGUUCGUACAAAAGACCCCUUAACGAAAAGGCUUCCACUGCAAAAGCACAUGUAAAACUUCCCGUUUUCAGUGGUGUCCGCCUCCUGCCAUCCUGUGUUUUUAAUCACAGAAAUUCAUUCAUUCAGCAGUUCAGCAUUUACUGACAAUACGGAUGUUAACAGGAAAGCCCAGUCCCUGUUUUUAGGAUGGUCACAAUUCAGGAGGAAGAGGAGAGCACUCAACAAGCGAGUCGUGCAGUGUGACAACUGACGUUCAUCCGUUCAUGCAGCAAGUAUACUUACCAAACACCUACCACAGGCCCCGCACUGCUGAGGUCUUGAAUAUAGACAGUGAGCAAAAGAGAGUCCCUGCCUUCCUAAAGCUUUCACUCUAGUGGGCAGAAACAGGCAAUGAACAAUUAAACAAAUAUAAAAUACAUCCUCAGACACGAAACCUGCCACUAGAAUGAAUGAAACAGCCUCAGGGGCCUGGAGAGUGCGAAGGAGUUUGCUGUUCUGGGUUGGAAGGUAGGGGAAGCCUCUCUGAAUUCAUGUUUAUUUGUUUUUCCAUUCUGCAGUGACAGGGCCAGGAAAACCCAUUUUCAGAGCAAUGAACUCAGUUGGUGGGGAGUGGGGGUCUUGGGGUAAGUCUUCCUGGAGGAAGGACAUGGCUUCAAGUGGGAAUCGUGGUGGAGGACAAGGACCCAAUGGAUCAUGAUUGGAGCCUCGGCUGCCCCAGGACUGUUGCAAUGGCCACCGCUUUCAGUCAGAGCCCAGGCAACAGCCCCACGUAACAGACUGAGUGAGUUUUAUCAUUAUCUUCAGUUUGCAGAUGGGAGCACUGAGGCUCCACGUGAGUGUCUCAGAUCACACAGCUAGGUAAGUGGUCAAGUCAGGGGCCUCCUGAUCCAGUGUCCUCACAGCCUGGGGGACCCAGGUGUGCACAUUUCAGCUUGUUUUUUAUCAGAGCUCUUCUUCUCCAAAUUCUCCCAGUUGGUGAAACAUGCAAAAUGCCCCCCAGCCACCCCUUUAAAAUGUAAUUGGCUCCCCCCAACAUCUACAGAUGGAAAACAGAUGUGACUUUGGCAAAAAGGAAAGCAGGAAUCUCCAGGAAAUGCAGACUGCAGCCCAGCAGGGCUCUCACAGGCACAGCCUGAUGGACGUGAUCUCUGAUCUAUGCAAGGCAGAUGUUCCCAUCACAGGCGAAUUAUUUUGCAGCUGCGCCCAUGCAUCUCAGUGGUGCUGCCUCAGGCCCCUGUGUGUGCAAGGCUGAGCCCUGAGCCCUGAGCCGUGGGCUCCAGCCUUCACAGGAAGGAGAAUGCAUCCCUCACCAUCCCUGGGAUAUUGCUGGGAGCCAGCACAUUUAAGUGAUGCUUAAGGUUUACAUUUGUCCACAAAUAGCUCUCAAGUCAGAGAGCCUGUGUGGGCCUUUCUCACCACAUCAGGGAAGAAGGACCCAGAUUCUAAUCCCAGCUCCACUGCUGACCAGCCUUGAGACUUGGAGCAAAUUUCUCCCAUCAAGUGAGGUUGGGCUUGGUGAAUCCAAGGCUGCUGGUGUGCUAAGUCAAUGAUGGUACUGGGAGCCCAUCGUCUGCAUCUCUUCCCCACUCCAUGUUGGUAGCUUGAAGUUGGCCACUAUGGAAAUAUAUAUGCCAUGGAAAUUAGCAAAUGCUACAAAUCAGAGCUUUUUAUGUUUUUGGGAGAGUCAGUUGCUAAGCACUCCGAGCACACCACUGUCUGAGGCCCACAGUGGAUCCUAGUAUUCUAGACCUCAGCCCCAACCCUGGGCAGGACAGAGUGGUGCCUGGUCGGGGCACAUGUGGGUCAGCUCAGCUCAGCUCUCUGUCAGUGUCCAACAUCCCAAGCCCUGUGCUGGAUACUGGGAAGGCAGUGAUGGGGCAGAGGCUCAGAGAGGUUAAGUGACUUACCCAAGCUCACCCAGCCUCCAUCACUACCUUCAUGGAGCUCACAGCCCGAGGAAAAGGGCUGGCUCUGAAACAGUCACAGGUAAGGGAGGUGGAGCAGGAACCACCCAAUUGUGGUUGAAGAUGUGGGAGGAUGAGGAGAAGUUAGUGAGGGAGAGGUUGAGAGGGCAUCCCUGGCAGAGGGAACUGUGUGUGCGAAGGAGUGAAAGUGCCCGUGGAUUCAGCCCUGAUUCAGCACAGCAGGACAUCACGUGGGAGUGUGAUGGCGGCAGAAUGUCGUUCUGAGUGGGAAGUGGUGAUUCUGAGUUCUCUCUGAUGGCAGAAGGACUCCUGGAGUCUCUGUAGAGGCGCAUCUGAGGUUUUGCUGGGAGCUCAGCAUUCACUCAUUCAUUCAUUCGUUCACCCAGCACCACCUCCUGCGCCCUCUGCAGUGCAGCGAUGUGUGUCCUGGGGAGACAGAGGGAAAGUGCUUGGAGGGACUGAUGUGGGGUCUCGAGAGUCCCCUUCAGUGAGGUGGUUGAACACACGUGGUGGGAACCAAGGAGAUGGGCCCCAGAGCCAUCUGAGGGUCGCCAAGAUUCUCCAGAAGAGCGUGGGGGAAAGAUGCAAAGGGCAAAGCACUUGCCAUCCCCACCUGGCACAGAGCCACCAUCUGGAGGGCUUCUCUCCCCACCCCCCUCUCAGUCCUCAGACCUAGGGCCACAGCUGGACCAUCCUUCUGGCUGAAAGCCACUGUCCCCUCAAGCAGGUUUUCCCAGCUUGGCACUACAGACAUUUGGGAACUGAGUAAUUCAUGUUUACAAAGGGCUGUGCUGUGCACUGUCGGGUGUUUUAACAGCAUCCCUGGCCUUGAUGCCAGUAGCAAAAGUGACUUCAAACGGCCCCUGAAGGGCAAAAUCACCCUGGUUGAGAACUACUGCUCAAAAGCAAAUUAACUUGCCUGAUCCUGUUCUUUGGUGAGUUAUUGAUACAAUACCAAGAAAAAAAUGAUGGAAUGCUUCUUGGAAGCAGAGUAAAAAUUCAGUCAGCUCUAAGCCAAGGCAUGAGUUAUAGGUGAAUUCCAAAAGGCACAGGACCGUUCCACAUCCGUGCUGCCAGACACGCCUUGUUCCCUAAUUCAUAAAUCAAAUGAAAAAUCUCCUGUGUGCCAGAAUUCUAAUAAUUAAAUUAUCAACAUGAAAAACAACUCCAAGCACAAAAUAAUAUUUCCCUAGAAACUCUUUAGUCGUGCCUCAGGCUCAUAAAGGUUUAUGGAAGGCUCUCUCUAAAACUGACUAAUUCUGUGCAGGGAGGGCACAGGAAACUUGAAACAAAUCAGAGAACCUCAGAACACAGAGCUGGAAUAAGAAAAAAGGAUGUUCUUGCUUAGUGGGCAUUUCUGUGGGGACAAUGUAGGAGCGCUCCAUGUAAAUCACUUCACAGAAUUCUCAGCAGAACCCCAUAGGGUGUCAGGCUAUAUGUGUCAGUUUAUAUCUGACUAGAAAUGCAGGCUCAGAGAGGUAAAGCAAUUAGCCCAAGGUCACACAGCUGGUAAGGGGUGCGCUAGGACUCAUAUGAGGGUCUGGCUCUGCUUUUCAGUGGUGUAUGUUACCAACCCCAUCAGCCUAUUCAUUUUACGGGUGGAAAAUGGAGGCUGCUUAGAAAGCAGAACAUAGAUGCCAAUAAUAGCUCAAUUUUCCACUGCGCUUUACCAGCACCAAAUCACUUUCACAUUCUUCUUCUCAUUUCAUCCUCUUGAAUACCCUGAAAGACCAUCAGGGCAUCUCUAAGGCCCACCUCCAAGUCCCUCCUUCCCCAAGGAAUCUAUUUCUGUCAAGAGGCUCUGAGCCCCAUGAACAUCUCCCACAAAAGCAGCAGAGAUAAGUUAUCUCUUUGAGAGAGAUUUAACAUUUAAAAAAAAAAAACAACCCUUGGGAAAGGGCA